AUACGGAAAAAUCUAAAUUCCGCAGAUUUCUGCGCUACGGGCUACAACUACAGAAAAAUUCUGCGGUGUUGACUUCAUUUACAUGACGCUCUAGUAAGACAGAUCGUGUCAGCUGACUCGGGUUUACGUACCGGUAGGUUUACGUUCUUGACUAAUUCCAGCUUAAGUAUGUGUCAGUCUGAACAAGUAGUUGGCAAUGAAUCUAUCUAUGAUGAUGACGCCUUAGAAAUAAGUGACGAAAAUUGCAUUGUGGAGACGCUCGAGGACGCCGAAGACGGUAUUGAAUUUCUCGAGACUUCAAUGGAGCAAGCGUUAGGUACUACUUAACUUUUCAUGCAUUUGUGUUUUUUAUUUAUGCGUAGAUAAAUUCCUUUAACAGGUAAAGCUCAGGAAAGUUCGUGGCGGAAGCCUACGCCUGCAGAUGUGCGGAAACCGGUCCAUGGUGUUUUGAAAGCGAGGAAGAAUUCCGCGACAGACUCCUUAAUGAGUGUUGCCGCAAAAAAGAAACAAAAAUGUGAACUUCUCAUGAAAACCACUGCUGAGGAACACGACAUCAAAAAAAAAAAAACAACAAGAUAUGGAAAUUGAAAUAAUGAAAAAGGAGCACGAUCUCUGAGUUAUAAAGAUGGAGUUGGAAAUCGACCUUUUAAAAUUACAAAUACAACAAAUGGAAAAAAAGAUUUUGGGUGAUUGCAAUAACAUUGGUGUUUAGUUUUGUUUUAUUCAAUUUUAGUGUUAAUGUUAUUUUUUUUAUUUUUUUAAAUAUAAGGAAACGAAUGCAGUCAUACGAAAUGAAUUUAAAGUCUGAGUAGUCUGUAAAUAAUUAAAGUAAUACAAAUGAAUGUACCCUUUUUUGUAGUAAUAAGAAAACUGAAUUACCUUUUUUUUAUAGUAAUAAGAAAACUGAAUUACCUUUUAUAUUAUGUGAUAAAUUUAGACCAAUUCAUAUUUUAUUAUGUACGCUAAACCGUUAUGAAAGCACUUAAAAAAUAAAAGACUGAAUAUAAAAUUUUUACAUGAAAACUAACUGUUUCCAUUUCUAAACAAGUCCUUAAAGUAAUUGUUAACUAAUGAUGUUCUGGUUCAAUUGUUUGGAUUCGAAGUUUCUCGUUGCCUGUUCCUUGGGACAGAGA